GCGACCGGCGCACGGGUGAGUAACGCGUAUCCAACCUUCCGCAUACUCGGGGAUAGCCUUCUGAAAAGGAGAUUAAUACCCGAUGGUAUCAAGAGAUUGCAUGAUAACUUGAUUAAAGAAUUUCGGUAUGCGAUGGGGAUGCGUUCCAUUAGGUAGUAGGCGGGGUAACGGCCCACCUAGCCGACGAUGGAUAGGGGUUCUGAGAGGAAGGUCCCCCACAUUGGAACUGAGACACGGUCCAA
rnacentral:rRNA from 1 species